AGAAGCCCCAGAAGAGGGGGCUCUGAGGCCUAGGGGCCUCUGCUUACCACCCGCCCACUGGAGACCCCAUGUAAGCAAGGUCUAAAGGCACCAUGUUGGGGUGGAGUCACUACUCACUUCAAUGAAAGACAGUCCAGGUUAUAAAGUGGGAAGAGUCAUGAUGCGGUCCAGCAGAGAGGAUGUGGUAUCCAAGAGUCAUAAAGAAUAUGCACAAGUGAACCAGGACUUUAAAACCCAGGACCCCAGGAGAAGAAAAACACCACAUGCAAUGUCUAAUUCAGUGGGUCUGGAGAUAUUGGUGCACUCACAUGAACCUGCAAAAAGAAUGAGCUCCCCACCCCCACUCUGACUGCACCUCUGUGCGCCCAGCCUUCAGCAUGGCAUGAGCAUGUGGGCAUUUUUAAGGCCCACAGGACAUACAAGGGCCAUGUUUGCUUCUCUGCAGGAGCCCAGGUUUCACCAGUUCCAUCAAAAGGGGGAGUCUGAGUGAUGGGUGCUGGAGCUACACAGUGACUCUCCCUACCCACCGUGUUGGCGUCGUGGUUGGCAGAGGGAGCACUGUCCCUGGGCUCAAGUGUUUCAUCCCUGGGCUCAAGUGUUGUCCCACUUUCUUGCUUUGGGUGGUUGUGGGAUCUCUCAGAGCCCUAUCUGAAGUCAGCAAGACGGGAAAACAGCGCUCCCCUUCCAGGUUUCGGUGAGAGUGAGUGAGGUGCUGCAUUCAAACUGGAGCAUGUGAGAUGCUUAUUGAUACUGGGAGAGAGAGAUCAGCAUUUGUACAUUUCCACUCCACCCCACGGUGCAUCCUGAAGCUGCUGCUCACACACUAGGGUCUUCCCUCCCGGGAGUGCCUGGCAGCACUGGGAGACCAGGAGAUCAGGACCCCUGCAGUUUUAUCAGCAUGUAUGACAUGGGGCAUUCCCUCAUUUGUCCUAAACAAAACAACCUGUGAUGGUGAAAAGUCAAGGAGUUCAGAAAACAGUGUUUUGUGAAAUACAAUUCUCAGUGACCUGGGAGCAAUAGCAACCAAAAAUAAAUAAAUAAAUAAGAAAUGUCAUAAAAAUGAAUAGAAUCUACUGAAACCAAAGGGAACAGAAAAGCUUGAACCUCAACACUGUUUCAAAUUGAGUCAUAAAGUGAAUUCCCAAAAUGAACCAAGGGCAGGUGCUCCCAGCCUGGAGCCCCACCCUACACCCUUGAGCCACUCCUCCCUCCCACUGUCUAAGCUUACCAAGAUGGCAGCAUCUAGGCUGUCCAGAGCUCAGUGCCAGGCCCAGACCGCAGCUGGCCAGUUCCCGCCCUUCUCCCCAUCCUCUCCCAAUCACGCUGGUUCCUCCAAGUCUGUGCCGCACUCUCCCACUUCUCUCCCCACUGCAUGGAACACUUUUCCUUCUUCUGACAUCACCUUUCAUCCUUUUACCUGGGAAAGUCCCAGCAACCUUCCGUUCUUCCAGCAUCUGCUUGAAGUCCCCUCUCCUGGAGGGUCUCUGUGAAUGCCUUCCAGCAGCACCUGUCCUGUGGUCACCCCGUCCUGAAGCCCCUUCCAGGCUGCCAACCACCUUAGCUGGGACUGGCCCAUUUGUCCCUGAUGCAUCCCUCAUGCCCAGACCAGUGCCUGGUGCUUCAUAGAUCCUCAGGAAAGCCGUGUUUGGAGAGUGUGUUUGCCAGUCCAGGGCCCUCACUUCUGACAGGAGGAGCCAUGAAGUCACUGGUGGUUCCUUUCAGCUUCUUCUCACUCGGAGUCGGCAGAACACAAGCCCCUGUGUUGCUUUCCAGCAAUCUUAGUGGAAUUCCCCGGAUCUCUUUCUGAACCCACAGAAUGAAGACAACUUAUUAUGAACUUUCUGGAGAGCCCGGCCCCUGCCUUACAUUGUUGUCUGAGCCUCGGCUCUACACCAGUCCCCAAGGCACACGGCAGGGCAGCCCAAUAACCAGCCACCCCUUCUCCUUCCUGGCCUCCCCGUCACCUCUAGGGCAUAACCAAACUGUGGUCGUGUGCCUGGGAGACAUUUAUCAUGGAAUUACAGCUCCGGGACGCAGUCUCCGUGGCUGUGACGUGAUGACUGUGUAUUUCACGCCUCUCAGUUUCCCAGCUGGGAUUCAGAGAUUUAAAGACAUGGGAGAUGUAUUUUUAAAUUUAUGAGAGGGCCAUUGAUUUAAUUAAUUGUGCCCGAAGAGUGCAGUCAGUCACAGUAAGAAUUCUUAAAGGCAAAGAGGACCAGAGCAGGGCGGUCUCAGUGGUUUGGGGCUGAUAAAGCGUGUGUUUCUUCAAUAAAGCCAUCUUGCUAAGGAUCUGGGGGUAGAGAACAUUCUUUAAAGGGCAUGACCAUAGGCAGACGAUGCACUCACAAACAUUUGGGGAAACACCCACCAAAACAGCUCUUCUUUGAGAAACUCUGCGUAACAUGAUCCUUCAAAAAGGACAAAAACCGAUUCAUCUGCGGGAAAGAGCUGCUCCUUUCACUGGUUUAUUCUGUCGUCUGACUGGUGCUGGCUGGGCCAGAGCCCAUUCCCCUGGAUUCUGGGAAUUAAGUUUUCCCCAGCAGCGGCAGGAAAGACAACAUUCUCCCGUCCACUGACCAAGUCCCAGAUUCGUGCACCAAAGACACCUGCAGCCUGCCUGUUCCAACCCGCGAAUUUUACAAAUGGGAAAACUCAGUUCUGGAGGCCUUUCCUGGUGAGAGACAAAGCUAGGGUCAGAAUUCAAGUUUCCCGAUCCCAUUCAGAGCUCUUUCUGCUGAUGGUACUGCCUCUCUUGGCUGGGAGGGCCUUAGCUAGUAGUUUUUUCAAAAUAUACAAUUACUGUCUUUACUUUUAGACUUUAACCCUUGCCCAGGAUGUUUUGAAUGAACUUACGGUAUUUUCUGCCAGAAUUGCAACCUCUUUUUCUUUUUAUGCACUUACAACAUCAUCAGCAUUUCACUUUGA